AUUGAACGCUGGCGGAAUGCUUUACACAUGCAAGUCGAACGGCAGCACGGGGGCAACCCUGGUGGCGAGUGGCGAACGGGUGAGUAAUACAUCGGAACGUGCCCAGUCGUGGGGGAUAACGUAGCGAAAGUUACGCUAAUACCGCAUACGAUCUACGGAUGAAAGCGGGGGACCGUAAGGCCUCGCGCGAUUGGAGCGGCCGAUGUCAGAUUAGGUAGUUGGGGAGGUAAAGGCUCACCAAGCCGACGAUCUGUAGCUGGUCUGAGAGGACGACCGGCCACACUGGGACUGAGACACGGCCCAGACUCCUACGGGAGGCCACAGUGGGGAAUUUUGGACAAUGGGCGCAAGCCUGAUCCAGCCAUUCCGCGUGCAGGACGAAGGCCUUCGGGUUGUAAACUGCUUUUGUACGGAACGAAAAGGCUCUGGUUAAUACCUGGGGCUCAUGACGGUACCGUAAGAAUAAGCACCGGCUAACUACGUGCCAGCCGCCGCCGUAA
rnacentral:rRNA from 1 species